rnacentral:lncRNA from 1 species
GAGAUAGAACACUUUAAGAAACCUGUAACUGGCCCUGGCAUCUUGUCUAUGGCAAAUGCUGGGCCAAACACAAAUGGUUCCCAGUUUUUCAUCUGCACUGCCAAGACUGAGUGGUUGGAUGGCAAGCAGGUGGUCUUUGGGAAGGUGAAAGAGGGCUUGAACUUUGUGGAAGCCAUGGAACGCUUUGGGUCCAGGAAUGGCAAGACCAGCAAGAAGAUCACCAUUUCCGACUGUGGACAACUCUAAUACAUUUGACUUGUGUUUAUCUUAACCACCAAACCAUUCCUGUAGCUCAGGAGAGCACCCCUCCACCCCAUCUGCUUGCAAUAUCCCAUAAUCUUUGUGCUCUAGCUGCAGUUCUUUGGGUUCCAUAUUUUCCUUAUUUCCCUCCCAAGUCUAGCUGGAUUGCAGAGUUAAGUUUAUGAUUAUGAAUAAAAACUAAAUGACAAAAAAAAAAGAAAGAAAACUGUAACUGGGGCUGGGGUUG